UGCCCCAUGGCUGAGUUGGUUACAGCGUCCGACUGUUAAUCAGGAAUGGUUGUAUCGGAAGGUCGAGAGUUCGAGCCUCUCUGGGGCAG